GUGGGAGGGGGCUUGCUCCCGAUUGCGGCGUGUCAGGCAAUACAUCUAUUACUGAUCCACCGAUAUCGGGGGCAAGCCCCCUCCCAC
rnacentral:misc_RNA from 1 species